CACAAAAUAAUGCACAUUACUGAGGCCUGUGGCCGUGGAGGUUAAAUAAAGCGUCCAGACAAGGGGUUUUAUCAGUCAGCAGUGGCAUUAAACAUGAGCAGAUGUCUGGUGUGUUUCUAUUUUAGAGUGAGAACAAAGUGCCAUGUGAAUGUUGGAGAAAAGAUGAAUGCGUAGCAGAUGGAUUUGCUUAUCGCAGCGACCUUUCAGAGCUCCUCUUGGGAGUGAGCGCUUGUGAAAGACAUGUCAACCCAAGAGAUACAGUAGGUCUGGAUCACAAUAAGAGUAGAAGAAGAAAUUCAGGCCAGAGUGGAAGAGAAGUGACUGGAACAAUAUAUAACCAGUAAAUAAAGAGUGACCUCAGACUUUUAUCUUCUCAAGCAGAAGAUAAAGGGUUUUUUUUUAUGGUAACAGGGUGAGAAGAGUCACUGUGACAGAAGGUGGCCACUGAUGGUAAAACUGUUAAAGAACAAAGUAGUAGCAGCUAAAUUAAUCAUUUUGGGGAAAUGUAAAAAAAAAAAGCCAAUACAAAGAGAAAAUACUCCUGACUGUUAUGAACAUUUCCUCUCAGUGUUAUUUUUCCUGCUGCUGUUUGGCAGGUCUGAGUGAGACAGAGGAAGCAGGGCGACAGGUAAUAAAACAGAACUACUGAAGUUCUCCAUCUUGGUCCUCAGUGGAACUCAACACAGUGUCUACCUCCUUUGUUCCUUUGCUCCUCCCCUGUUUGUGUCUCCCUCCAUCAUUGGCUGCUCAUUCAACUCACCUGAUGUUCAUAGAGUCGUCAGCCAUUCUUUUUUUCCUGACACUUUGGUUUCACCACACAGUAAACCAAAGGAGGAGCUUCACUUCUGGACCGACGGUCAUGAUUGUGGUCAAUGACAACGACAGAACUGUCUGGACGACUCACUGAGGGAAAGAAAGGAAUUAAGGAGGAACUGAAAAACAGGAAGGUCUCCAGGCUCUGGACUAGUGUCUGGUCAGCCUUUGAAUCAGCUGGGGUGUUGACAAACUCUGGGUCCAGGUGGAGGGCACGGGGCGAGGGCCGACUGGAGAGCUGACUGCCACGGUGGCUCUUCAGGCGGGCCUGUAGAAUCUCACAGAGCUUUGGAGAAGAGUCCUACAAACAAGACAUAAAGAGUCCGAACGUAUCCGUUUGAACACCAGGGGGCUCACUUCUGAUGCCCUGCCAGCAGCAAACUGGUUCAUGGGACUCUGUCCCAUCUUAUCUUCAAAUGUCAUAGAGCGCACAGCAAGACUCGUGGGCUGCGGCCGGGCCA